rnacentral:ncRNA from 1 species
CGGGAUGACAAGGACGACGGUACGACGGAAGCCCGGUGCAAGUCCGGCACGGUCGCGCCACUGUGUGCCGCCCCUCCCGCGGGAGGUGGUGGUGAGUCAGACCCACAUGCCGUCGUCGCGUGCUCCAC